rnacentral:rRNA from 1 species
AUUGAACGCUGGCGGCAUGCCUAACACAUGCAAGUCGAACGGCAGCAUGGUCUAGCUUGCUAGACUGAUGGCGAGUGGCGAACGGGUGAGUAACGCGUAGGAAUAUACCUUAAAGUGGGGGAUAACAUGGGGAAACUCAUGCUAAUACCGCAUAAUAUCUUAGGAAGAAAGCUAGGGACCUUCGGGCCUGGCGCUUUAAGAUUAGCCUGCGUACGAUUAGCUAGUUGGUAGGUAAAGGCCUACCAAGGCGACGAUCGUUAGCUGGUCUGAGAGGAUGGCCAGCCACACUGGAACUGAGACACGGUCCAGACACCUACGGGUGGCUG